AUUGAACGCUGGCGGCAGGCCUAACACAUGCAAGUCGAGCGAGCGGCGGACGGGUGAGUAAUGUAUGGGGAACUGCCCGAUAGAGGGGGAUAACUACUGGAAACGGUGGCUAAUACCGCAUACUAUCGGAUGAACCCAGAUGGGAUUAGCUAGUAGGUGGGGUAAUGGCUCACCUAGGCGACGAUCCCUAGCUGGUCUGAGAGGAUGACCAGCCACAAUGGGACUGAGAAACGGUCCAGAUGCCUACGGGAGGCAGUAGUGGGGAAUAUGGCACAAGGGGCGCAAGCCUGAGGGAGCAAUGCCGAGUGGAUGAAGAAGGCCUUAGUGUUGUAAAGUACUUUCAGAGGGGAGGCGUUACCGGCAGAAGAAGCACCGGCUAACUCCGUGCCAGCAGCCGCGGUAAUAC
rnacentral:rRNA from 1 species